UAUUAAUUAGUUGAAAUUCACAACAUUAAGUUGCAAACUUGAAAGAAUGGCCUUACCCAUAUUAAUUU
rnacentral:tRNA from 3 species